UCUCUGUGUCGGAAUUCGUGGCCGAGACCCUUGAGGACUACAAGGCGCCCACGGCCUCUAGCUUCACCACACGCGCACGGCCCAGUGCCGCAACACCGUGGCGGCCGUCGAGGAGGACCAGAGGGAACCUCUUUGGGUGCGAGAGAGAUUGGUGAAAUGCUGCAAGAAUGAGGCUCCUUGCCGGGCGUGGUGGCGCACGCCUUUAAUCCCAGCACUCGGGAGGCAGAGGCAGGCGGAUUUCUGAGUUCGAGGCCAGCCUGGUCUACAAAGGAUAAGCUCGGGAUACUUGGUGCUCGAAACCCGGGGAGAAAACGCCUUAACAACGCGCACACCAGAGGAGACCCUUCUAAUCGAAGCAGGUUCAGAACCGAGGUGGAUCUAAAACUCCGAGAGCAUACUGGAUCCUUGAAGAAGACAACCCAUUCUGGCUGCCGGAACGACUGACACGGAGAAUUCUGACACCUGAAGAUGACUCCCGGAUGGAUCCCUUGGAAACUACCUCUAGUCCUCGUGCUACCUCUGUGGAUUUGGGUUCCUAGUAUAUUUGGAGAGUAUAGAUGGGCAAUUCUGUCUGCUUUCCCUAAGCCCAUGCCUGUCCAUCAU
rnacentral:lncRNA from 1 species